GGAAGAGGAUGUGAAAUCUGAAUGACUGUGGAUGGCUUCAUCUCUAUAUACGAGUAUUCAGUAAGUGCACAAGGUCUCCGGGGUAGAUAAACAACAAAUAGGACCCAUGUGAAACAUGCACUGUGACAGUGAUACAACCGAGAAUUUGAGGUAGUUCUGAGCCAAAACUGUUCAGGCAAAUGCUGGUGUUCAUGUGAAGAGACAGACCAAGAAUAUGAGCAUACAUUGUUAAGAGACAGAGAAGAGAGUAGAACUUUUGGAAAUCUCAUAAAGCUGUAAAGAAAAUAAAAUGGAUUUCACACUUUUUCCAGUGUGGGUAGCCAGAUGCCAACAGAGAAGUCGUCUCAUUACCUACUGAAAGGACCUUGUGGAGAAACCCUGUGCAGAACUAUUUGAGAG